CAUCAACACCAAAUUCAUCGACCAAGGGUACUAUAUAGUAUUAUCAUUAUCAAAGGAAAAACAGAAGAAAAAUCAAUCAUUCAAUCAUGGCAAAGAUCAGCAUGUUCUUUAGCUUCCUUUUAUUCGUCUUGAUUGCCAUGCCAACAUCUUCUUCUGGCAGGAUGAUUCUCGAAGAGGCUGAACCAGUAAACAAGUGCCCGACGCCUGAUUGCUCUUUCGUUAAGUGCAAAGAACCAGCUUUUUGCCUACAGGUGGUGCUUGAAUGCCCAAAUUAUACGCCGUGUUGUGGCUGCCCAACCUGCUGCCCUGUUUAUCAUUAGAUACAUAUCCGGCACCGAUCUUAUGUACAGCAUGCGUAUCAUAUAUACAUGUACCAAAAACGUAUUGUUGCAUAAGUGUCUUUAAUGUUAUCAGGUUUUGGAUGUUCAUCCCAUGUAAUAAACCGUACGUGUAUGUAGUAAACCGUACGUAUAUGUAACCUUCUGAACCACAAUAAAAUGCAAUAAAAUGCUUUCAGUUGUACUUAUUUA